ACGCUUAGCCAAUUCUUUGACAUUCAAGCUUCUUCUGAAGUCACUCGCGUCGAUUAAGUCUUCAUUUGAUCCACUUGUUUGCUCAAGUGGCGGCCGAGGGGGUGCAAUUACACCCCCGCCUCCCCUAACAAUCGCCACCUCCUCCUGCUUGGUGGGACAUCAAUGUGUAGGAUAUGCAAGAAGACCAUUAAGGGGUGUGAAAAGUUUACCGAAUUAAUAGACUUCCGUGGAGAGUCCUUUCAGGCUUGACUGACACUUUGGAGAUGAAAGGACAACCCUCGACCCUCCUUGCCGAAUCCGAGGUUCAAAAAAUCAAAUGGCGAGGCUGCUGUAUUCCAAUUGGUCCUUUUAAUGCAGGUGGUAUUACCUGCCAGUCAGGAGCUCAAACAUAAGGAUCCCCAGCGACCAGUAAUCAGCGGAGAUGUCGUGGCCUUUGUUCAGGAUGAUCUCAGGCGCCACAUACUCAGGCGUCCCGCAGAAAGUCCACGUUUUCUUCCCGAAACCGAUCUUUUUGGCGAAACCAAAGUCCACCUGGCGAAAGACGCUUUUUAACUUGUGGAAAGUAGGAGCGAGAAAAAACACCUGGUGGAGCGCUCACCAGUUUGGCAUAGCCCCUGUGGUCCAGUAUAAGGUUCUCUGGUUUGAGGUCUCUGUAUAUGAUGCCUUUGGAAUGGAGAUACGCGAAGGCCUCCACCACGCAGCCAGUGUAAAACCUGGUGGUCGAGUCCUCGAAUGAACCACUGGAAAAAAAUGAGAGAACAAACUCGGUGAGUCAAACUCGAUUUUGAAUGAAAGAUCCAUGUGUACAUUUCGUACCGGUCCCGAAGAAUGGUCCACAGUUCUCCUCCUAAGCAGGCUUCCAUCAGCAUGUAGAGGUACUUGCUGUCCUUAAACGUUCUAUAGAGUCUGUAAAUGCAAAGUAGAAGCGCUUUGCCAAUAUGAUGGUGGCAAGCAAACAUUUGAAUAAUUGAACAAAUGAUCAUGUUUCUGUGAAAUUGACAGCGCUCAUCAAUGUGAUCAUUCGCUGCCAGAUUGGACGUCUAUCGCCGUCAAUGGCAUUGUAUUAAGGUGAGAUAUUUCUACCUAACAAUGAAAUCGGAGUGGGCCUCCUGCAUAAUGAGUUUCUCGGAGCGAAUGUGCUCCUGUUGCCUGGUGUCAACGAUGUGCCGCUUUUUAAGGAUUUUCAUGGCAAAGGUUUUGUUCUCGUCACUCUUGAGCUGAACCUGAAGAGAGAUGAUGAAACAAAAGACCAGCAGAAUUAGAAUUCAGCGCCACCUGUAUUUCCGUCAUUCACCUGCUGAGAGAAGAAACACUUGCUCACCAGCUCCACACGACCAAAGCCGCCGACCCCCAGAGUGUCGAUGAUGUUGAAAUCGGCUAGGUUAAGAUUGAAGAAAAACGCGUUCUCUGCUUCAUACCUGUGGUUGAAGAAGAAAGAGGCGGGAUUACUCUUGAGAGAAAAAAAUGAAAGACAAGAUAAUCCACAUUCAGUUUUGUCUUUCCGUUCAUUUGUUUGCAAAUCUCAGCGGAUUACGCGGGACUAAUCUAGCAGGGAUUGUCUCAAGGAUGUGAAGUGUAUGAAUACACAAAACGCUUCACUUGGAUUAAGACAUGAGUGUCCUCAGGUUGCCUCCAUUAUAAGAAUCGUAGACAUCUGCCGCCAAUCGAGACGCCUUUUGGAUUGUGUCUGUCACUGAUCCUGUCACGCCGCCUAUGUUUUCAGGUUAUUCUUUGAUCGGGAUCGUGUUCCGGCGGAUCAGGAUUUGGAUCAGUGGAUUUAAUAUUGUUCUAUUCCGCGCAAUUUGCGCAACAAGUACAUGUACGUAAUGGGAAAUAUUUUGUCUUGGGUCUAAAACUACUGUCCGAGACCAGAUCUCAUUGAAAAAAGGACAAGACCAAAACUUUCAGGAGUCUAGGCCCAGAUAAGACGGAGUCUGAGAUGUAACAAAAACCAUAAAAUUAAAUUUAAAAAAUAUAUACAUAUAUUGUGGUGACCCUUUGUUAUGACAUAAUUCACCCACCGAACUUGUGUGUGGGAGAUGUUGUGCGUCACAGUCACGUGACACAGAGACUUAAGAGCCGUGUGCGUUCCGGCUGAGUUAGCAGAGUUCA